rnacentral:rRNA from 1 species
CGUUUCGAAAGGAACGCUAAUACCGCAUACGUCCUACGGGAGAAAGCAGGGGACCUUCGGGCCUUGCGCUAUCAGAUGAGCCUAGGUCGGAUUAGCUAGUUGGUGAGGUAAUGGCUCACCAAGGCGACGAUCCGUAACUGGUCUGAGAGGAUGAUCAGUCACACUGGAACUGAGACACGGUCCAGACUCCUACGGGAGGCAGCAGUGGGGAAUAUUGGACAAUGGGCGAAAGCCUGAUCCAGCCAUGCCGCGUGUGUGAAGAAGGUCUUCGGAUUGUAAAGCACUUUAAGUUGGGAGGAAGGGUUGUAAAUUAAUACUCUGCAGUUUUGACGUUACCGACAGAAUAAGCACCGGCUAACUCUGUGCCAGCAGCCGCGGUAAUACAGAGGGU